rnacentral:rRNA from 1 species
GGGAAUAUUGCACAAUGGGCGCAAGCCUGAUGCAGCCAUGCCGCGUGUAUGAAGAAGGCCUUCGGGUUGUAAAGUACUUUCAGCGGGGAGGCAGGGAUUAAAGUUAAUACCUUUACUCAUUGACGUUACCCGCAGAAGAAGCACCGGCUAACUCCGUGCCAGCAGCCGCGGUAAUACGGAGGGUGCAAGCGUUAUCCGGAUUUACUGGGUGUAAAGGGAGCGUAGACGGAAUUGCAAGUCUGAUGUGAAAUCCCCGGGCUCAACCUGGGAACUGCAUCUGAUACUGGCAAGCUUGAGUCUCGUAGAGGGGGGUAGAAUUCCAGGUGUAGCGGUGAAAUGCGUAGAGAUCUGGAGGAAUACCGGUGGCGAAGGCGGCCCCCUGGACGAAGACUGACGCUCAGGUGCGAAAGCGUGGGGAGCAAACAGG